ensembl:lncRNA
GUAUCAGUCAGGCGCCUGUGUGAGGAGCGCGUAGCUUGGGUCUGUCUGCGAGUGGCAGGGAGCUGUGAGUUCACGUGGGGCCUCACGUUGUGCCAGAUAACGGUCAGGUUGGGUAUUAGGAAACAUUCCUUCUCAGAAAGAGCAGUGAGGCACCGCACGGCUGCGCAGGGAGGCGGGGCAGUCAGCAUCCCUAGAGGUGCUCAGAGCUGUAGGGAUGUGGCACUGAGGGAAUUGGGCAGUGGGCACGGUGGGCUGGGCUGGUGCCCAAGAAGGUGACCCCAAAGCUGCACUUUGGGGUUUGGGGAUGAAAUUGCUUUGGAACACAGCAAAAACAACAGGCAGCCUUUGCUGCAGCAGCACAGCCUGUUCACUCUGGCCAGUGUGAAAAUGCACAACAUCUUGCUUCACAGCUUCGCUUUUCACUGCUUCAUGCCUUCGGUAAUGUGUUAGGUAACCUCAUUAUUGUAACUUAAUUUGAAGCCAGGCGGCCUUCAUGGGGCUUUUUGUCUUGCACGAUGCUAAAUUGCUUUGUUUUUCUUUUUAAGUAAAUGAGUGAAGAUGAAAUUAUUAAAUUGUAACAGAAUAAAAUGGAUGAUUCACCAGAUUAUUACACCGGAGGAGAGAGCAGCGCUGGCUGAGCUAAUAACAGAUCGUGCACAGCUCUGUCCUACUGGGAACACGGUACAGAAAGUUGUGUGUUGUCUGCACAACUAAUUUGGCCAAGUGUGAGCACACGGCCUGCUUUCCCCUCUGUUUUUAAAUCAUAAAAUCAAAUCAGAUGUUGAAAAAUGUAAAGUUGCUUGUAAUUGCAUGCUUAGGUCUUAGUGCUGCUGAUAGAAUUACUGGACUCCUGACAUACAGUGCUGAGAAAUUCAUCCAUUCCCAUCUUCCAUCCAUUUUAAUCCUCUGCAGAGAAAGAGGAAACCAAGCAUGAAAUCCGAGAAGGGAGAAGACAGAAGUACAGAACAAUGGAGAUCAGACUCGGUUACUCCUUUCCCGGGGCUUUUACUUUGGCCUUAAUAUAUAAUCAGCCCCAAAAUCUUUUCACAUUACCUUUGAAUUGCCAGCCACCUGCUUUCAUUCGGCCUCCCCAGCAAAAGUCCUUCAGCUCAUCUCUGAGAGUUGUCUCUUCUCACCGAGACUGUGAGAGAAAGUAAUUGUCCACUAUUUCUUUCAGUAACACACAAUAGGGAAAAUAAUUGGUGCAAGCAGAAAUGGCAUCCAAAAAUGAAACGCCCUCAAGCAUUACAUAAGUUGUUGAAAACACUGUAUAGGUGUAAAAUAAUAGCUAGACUACUCUAAGGGAAAGAUUUAAAUAGUCAUCUGUCUGUGUUUGAAUCUUGGAAAAAUCACAAUGUGCGAAAGAUAUCUCCUUCCUGUAAUCUGAUUACAGAAUCGUUGUGGGCAAAACAUCCUGAUUUUUACAAUACCUACUAGCACCACUUUUCCCACUUCAGUACAAAGUUCCUUUCUUCUUAAAUUCAGCCUAAGCUUCUGGCAGUCUUUCCAGUAACAACAGAUCUCUGCUCUUUGUCACCCUAAUAUUGCUGCCCUUUUCUAUCAGGAAGGGUUGCAGGAACGGCAGGAUAAAACAGCUGGUUCAGGCUGAAAGUGGCUCCACCACAGCCAGUUCGUUGUAUUCACGUAUAAAAAUUUAAGAAAAUUAACAAAUCUUAUGAUUCAAAAGCAAAAAUAAUACCUCCAAGGACAGUAUGUUGUAUCCUGUAUUCAUACAGGCUGAAACUUUGUGUGCCAUACGAAGCGUACGGUGGGAUUGGUACUUACACAUCCAUGCAAAGGAGGAAAAAUCCUCUUCAGCAGACAGAAAAUAGAUGGAUGGAAACACAGGGAGGGCUUUUCAGAUGUUAAAGGCUGGGAAGGAAGAGAUGCUUGCACUGGACAUGCAUACCUACAUGUAGCCUAACGCUGUGUUAUAUCAGCCAGAAAGUGCCACUACAGAUUUAUGCUUUUAUAGCUUUAUGCUACGCUCUGCUUGUAAGAAGAAUUUCACUUUGAGUCUUUGUGCUUGGCCCUUUGUGUAAGUGCAGCACUCCUGGAAGACACUGUCUAUUUUGGGAGAGUUUCUGAACCCACUGCUGUUUCUGAUGGCAAUCUGCUGACAUGCACUCAGCACUUUUGCACGGAGGUGUUGCAGACUGAGGACUGCAAGUAUGAGAGAGCAGCUUUCUAGUCCAAAACCCUCUUGGCAACCAGGGUGCUGUUCAACAGCAAUAAGUGCAAGGUUCUACACCUCAGGCAGGAGGAACUCAGCAGACAGAGGCAGAGAGAUCUGUAGGAAAACAUCUGAGGUUUGUAUUGGUUUACCAGCCCAACAAAAGUCAGACAUGGCACACUAUCAUGAAAAAGACAAACCUCAUGACAAGGAGAUAAGCAGGGCCAUCAUCAGCAUGAGACAUGAAAUGAUCCCUCCACUCUGAUCAGCAAAAGCAAGGUUUUUGGUGAUUUGCCCAGCUUUAGCCAUCACAUUUCAGGAAUGAUGUGGAAAAUCUAGGGUGACCAAAACACGACCCAGAGGAAAGAUGUAAACAGUUGGGAUCACUUACUCUAAAGAGAAGGCUGAUGGGAAACAUGAGAGCAGAAUGCAAAUAUGAGGUGUCAGAAAAUGAAGACAAGCGAUCUUACCAAGGACUAAGUUAGUUGGAAGAUUUUGGAAUUAGGUUGUUCUGGAUCUUCAAGUUUGCAUUUCUGAAGAGGAAAUAUAUCCCACGCUUGGUUGCUUUAUUUAUGCUUACAAGCUAUGAUCGUGAAGAUGCAAAUUGCUGUAAAGCACAGAGCAGGCGUAAUUUCUGUGCUGAUGCUUCAUCCUUCCUGUUGCAAAGGUCUAUUGUUUCUUUUCCAUUUUCUUUGCUGCGUCUUUCCUUCUUCCCUCCUCUGGGCCAAACCGUUUCUGUUGGAUACUGCUCUCAGCCACCCGCUUCUCCUGGAUUCUCUCUUAGUCCUCAGAUCCCCUCUUCGCCUUCCUGCAAACGUUCCUGCUGGAGCCUGUCUCUUUCCUCCAUUCCCGGUCAUUCAUUUCUUCCAGAGACCAACAUUUAAUGCCGCGUUGCCAUCUCUAUCUCACUUAGUACAAUCUGAUGUUUUAUGAUAUGCAAGAUUAAUUUAGUCUGCACGUAAUGCAGUCCAGACCUUGACAAACAAUGUAUUAAAGUGUUAAUCAUAUUGUGUAGCAGAUCACCAUCAGCAGUUUCAUUUAAAUACAAUCACAGAAGCACAGAAUAGCUGAGGCUAGGAUGCUCCCAGCAGGUCUGCAUGGCAUCUCCUGCAAUACAGGAGCUCUGAGAGUAUAGGUUUGAUUGCGCUUCUCUGAAUGCUGCUGCAGAAUGUCAGUGCUUUUUCAUUUAAAAGGACAUGUCGAAGCCCUUCUGCAUGUUUGCAGCGACCAAAUCUCUUUGGGCAAAGCUUUAUUUUAUUCAUCGUUAGAGGCCAAAAUCAAAUAAAGCAGAAUGGGGACAAAAACAAACCCCGGCCUCACACACAUGACACUGUAAACCAGCGGAUGGUUCUGCAGCGCUGAAUUAAGCCCUGCACAUCUAAUGCACCCUUUGUUUAGUUGCCUUGGGAGCUAAUACAGAGAUGAUCUGUAAAUAAUAUUAAUAAAGCAGGAUCGUGGUAAUGAACUGAGAACAGAGGCUCAGAGAAAUUCGGGGAUGCAUAAUGAGAUCAAACAUUCCUCUGAUAACAUUUUGUCUCAUUAUGCAUCACAAAAAGUGAAGCAAAUUGCAGUAGGUAAAAAGAAAUGUCUCAUCCAUCAACUGGGGUUUAGCCAUGAAAGAACUGGUGAAAGACUUCAGAAGUCUUAAUACAAAUGCAAUCCUAAAAUACUUCUUGCCAAGAGCCGUGUUUGAAACAACACCAUGCGCGCUGUGGAGCUAGGAAGAUCUUGUUCAUAUUCAUGUGAAUAAUAAUAUGAGGUUUGCUUAUAUAUAUAGAAAGAACAUCGCGUACCUCCACAGCUAACACCUCUUCUACAGUGGGGAAAGGCAGCGUGUCGGAAGGACUGUUUGCAUCCUGUCGCUGUUGCAUAAUGAUCCCCUCGAGGAGCACUCGCAGGAGCACACCCAUGACAGCAGGACCCGGAGUGGCAGAUGUGAGCAGCUGGGUGGGAUGCAGCUCCAGCUGCACUUGCCUCUUGCUUCAGCUACGUGCAGGAAUUAGAGAAAGCCAUUAAGUCCUUCAU